AACCUCAUUGUUCUCAGUCAUCUUGGCCAGAAAGUUCCUAUUUCAGAGCUGAAGAGUUCAAGACCGAGAAGUAGAAGCAAAGAUCAGUUUGAAGAACAGUUUGUGCCCAAACAGGAAAUGUUUGUGCCUCUAUGAACCAAAUAUUGAGGAAGAUUAGGUAUGUUUAUAGCACUGAGACUAAAGUAGGAAACUAAAAGCAGAAAAGCUAAAAUGGCAACAGAGUGUAGGAAUGGCGUAGAGUAUGCUCUGGUUGGGAUAUUGAAGUAAAACAAAAGGAUAUAAUAAAAUUCACAUCAAAUAUGUACACCAAAAUUUACCAGGUAUUUCACUGGCUAUAAUCCAAAAUUUUGAUAAUGCAGUGCUGAUGAUACAAUGGGAAGAAAACACUCUUAUGUUCUGCUGGUUAGAUGUAAAUUGGUACAACCUCUCUUGAAGGCAAUUUGACAAUUUAUAUGAAAACCACUUGUACAUAUACACUUUCACUCAGUUCCAUAUAUGAACUUACUUUACUCAUAUAUACACAUGAAAAAUUACACAUUUAUCUGAUUAUUCAUUAUAGAAUUCUUUGUAUAGAAACUUACUAAAUACUACCCAAGUGACCAUCAAUGAAAACAGAUUAAAUAACAUGAUAUAUCUAUACAAUUGAAUAUGAUACAGUGGUGAAGAAAUUAAUACAAAAAUAAAGAAAAAAAGAAAAGAGUGAAAAAGUGAUCCAUCUAUUUUAUAAAAAGUCUCCAAGAUAAAAAAAAAAAGGACAGAAAACUAUGCAUAUUAUACUGAUAUUUGAAUACAAAGGUCAUGGAGCAUGGUAGUUGUGGACAUGCACUACUCAGAUCACCUACUGUAGAAAGUAGAAUUGACUGACAGCCAUGUGCUGCAUUGUCUAGACCCCCACCAUGUUCAUGCUAAAGCUAUAGUUACCCAGGCUGUCCCCACAGUGGGGGUGUAACCUUACAAAAACAAAAGUUCAGCUGUUUGUCACCACAAAAGUCAAACUCAUGGGGCACAUGCUGGUGCAAAAGGAAAGAGGUUUUAUUCAGUUGCCAUGCAACUUGGGAGAAUAGCAAACUUCUAUUUCAAAGACCAUCUUAUCUUUUGUGCCAUGGAAAAUGUCCAACUGUGUCUUCAGCAAGGCCAAGACCAAAACCAGUGUCCAGAGUUCCUGUUCCAUUUUAAAGUACAGUCCUUUGGAGCUUGCAAGUGGCUGCUAAGAAAUCUUAGUCCCCAUCCAGGUAGCUUAGCUUGCCCCCAUCUGCUGUGCAUUUCAGCCUCCUUCCUGGAGCCAGUAUGUGGAGCCCACACAGCCAUGAACCAUGUGGCUGAUAGGGCCACAUGUUCACAUGUUCCCAGGUUGGAGAGCACAUGAACACAUGGGCAAGUGUAUUACCAGCUGGACAUGAGAGAGGGAGCUUCUUUCCCGUGGGAUUAUAUUAGCUGGGGCUUGGGACAGACCAAGUGCUUUCUCAAAAUGACCAAUUAACUUCCCAAAAUUUCACCUGCUUUGGGUGUGUCCACCUCCCAAACAACUUCUUCUUUUCCCGAAGUAGACAGACAGGACUCUGCCAGCACCUUCCACUGUGCCAUUAAGACUUCUAUGGAGUACGUUCCUUCCUUCUCAUGGUCGCACUGCCCAAACUGGUACCAGAGGGAUGCAGAAGGGCUUUUUUCUGUCCAAUUAUCUUGCUAGAUUUUUGCAUCCUUGGGCCCUAUCCAUUGAUAUUUCUAGCUUUAUGCAUGCUCAGUGUAAGAACCUCACCCUGCCACCAAAUUGGCUGAUGGGGGAGACUGCCCAGCUUUCCAACUGACUGUUUUACGGUAAUAAGGACACUAGUGCUGACUUGUUACUACAGGACCUACCAUCUUUCUAAUUGGCAAAUUUGGCUCAAGGUCAGGAAUUUCUUAAAGCUUUGCUAGAGUUUAAGACUCUUACUCAAUCCUGCUUCCUGCCCACUC